ACACACGUGCGAACGUGUGUCCCUAUUGAUUAACUGUUAUGUCCUUCAAGCAUGAAUUAAUUAACAUCUUUUGGUUAUUAUGCCAGCCCAGAAUAUUCAAUACAAGCUCAGCUUCUACAAUUGAUUCGUCAGUAAUUAAAUCCGAGUUUGCCUACAGUGGAUUUGGCAGGGACCAGGCCUUCCGCGAUGGAUCCACCUGAAAAGAGCAGCAUUCACAACCCAUGACCACUGUGCCCUAGCCAUCCACUCCCAUCACAGAUUUAGGAGAAGGAGUGGACAUAUUCCCUGUAAAACAAAGGCAACACCAGGCCAGUGAGAAGCCGCAUUACCCGGGCCCUCAGGCAGCAUCAGACGCGGAAAACAGCAAUUGUCAAAAGACUAUGGUUGAGAUUAAACAAAAUUAUCUCUAAGUAAAGCAUGAAAGUGCCUGGAAUAUAAAAGGCAAAGUAGAAUAAAAAGUAGCUGCUCUCCUGCUGAUAGUUAUUUCUAUGGUGAUGGUGACAAGGACGUUGACUCUCUACUUGGGAUUCAAGAAGCCUGGUCACAUCUGGAAAG